CCUACGGGAGGCAGCAGUGGGGAAUAUUGGACAAUGGGCGCAAGCCUGACCCAGCAACGCCGCGUGAAGGAAGAAGGCUUUCGGGUUGUAAACCUCUUUUGACAGGGAAGAGAAGAAGACGGUAUGUGUAGAAUAAGCCACGGCUCACUACGUGCCAGCAGCCGCGGUAAUACGUAGGUGGCACGCGAUGUCCGGAUUUACUGGGUGUAAAGGGCGUGUAGCGGGGCUGACAAGUCAGAUGUGAAAUCCGGGGGCUCAACCCCCGGACUGCCUUUGAAACUGGGGGUCUUGAGUAUCGGAGAGGCAGGCGGAAUUCCUGGUGUAGCGGUGAAAUGCGUAGAUAUUAGGAGGAACACCAGUGGCGAAGGCGGCCUGCUGGACUGCAACUGACGUUGAGGCUCGAAGGCGUGGGGAGCAAACAGGAUUAGAUACCCGUGUAGUC
rnacentral:rRNA from 1 species